rnacentral:lncRNA from 1 species
UGGCACCUGCGACAAGGGUGAUUUACCAACAUCAUGUAUUUACUCUGCAUUAGACAGAUGGAGAAAAAACAAAGGUGAGACACCAAGCUCUCCAAACGGAAAACAUAUUAGUUUAUUUUCAAUCAUUCACAGCUAAUUGAGUUACAUUCCUUAGGUUAAUGGUCCUCAUGGGUUUAAUCCCUAAAGAUCAAAACCCAUUAAGGAAUGAAGCUGUAUUUAAAUAGAGGCAUUGUUAACAGGAGGAAGGCCAUGUGUCAAAGUGUUUCAAGGCAUAAGAAACCAGCAUGGAAUAAUCCAGACUGACUACCAAACAUCAUAAAACUAUAGUAACCCACACUCAGGUAAUUCUACAUGCCUGCUAAUAAUCAUUAUUGUAAAAUAGAAUGUCUUAU